rnacentral:lncRNA from 1 species
UUCUGAAAUGGAUCUGACAGUAAAAGGUACUGAUAUUGAUUGAAAUUUCAAAGGGAAAAUCACUUUGGCUAACCGAGCAUUUAUAAUUUCAAGAACCUUUCUGAUGUAUCUUUCCUGAUUAAGUUUAUAUGUGUUGUUGGUAUUUAUUUCGAAAGAAGACGAGACCAAUGAGUUCUACGAGUUGACUGAUAAAGAUUAUUACAAACUCUUGGCUACUAAAAAGGAAGGCUGUAUUUAGAGUUUGUUUUCCUGAUAAUCACACGUUGGAAGCUACAUUUAAUCCAUCAGAAACUAUCCAAAGUUUAGUUGAUCUACUCAAUAAAGUGAUUGCAUAACCAGAGAAGCCAUUUGAUUUUAUACUAUUACGCCCAAGAAGAAGCUAAUCAAAGAUGUUUCACAGGAUUUCUAUACUGCUGGAUUUUGUCCUGGUGCCAUUGUGUACUUCUCGUAUGAUGUUUCUAAAGGUGAUAGCAGCCAUGAUGGACCUUACCUAUUAGAAGGGGUGAUGUCCUUGAAGGGUUUGGAUGGAUGUUGCUCAAUGCUAAUGAUCAAGGUGGUGCCUCUUGAGCUUGCAACACAACGAUCACUUGCUUCCGAGAGAGACUGAGACGCAUGUGACUUUUUUUUUGGUUUAAUUGAUCAUUUAGUCUCUUAACUUAAUUCUUUUUUUCGAAUUGAUCAUUUAAUUAUUAAACGUUUCAAUUUGGUCAUUUAUCUUUGUUU